UACAGAGGGUGCGAGCGUUGCUCGGAAUUACUGGGCGUAAAGCGCACGUAGGCGGCUUUCUAAGUCGGGGGUGAAAUCCUGGAGCUCAACUCCAGAACUGCCUUCGAUACUGGAGAGCUUGAGUCCGGGAGAGGUGAGUGGAACUGCGAGUGUAGAGGUGAAAUUCGUAGAUAUUCGCAAGAACACCAGUGGCGAAGGCGGCUCACUGGCCCGGUACUGACGCUGAGGUGCGAAAGCGUGGGGAGCAAACAGG
rnacentral:rRNA from 1 species